ACAAAGGCUCUUUUUAGAGCCACCAAAUCCCCAAUCAAAACCAUUU
rfam:Xenopus tropicalis strain Nigerian scaffold_53_contig_21, whole genome shotgun sequence.